GAAAAUUGACUACAAGAUUAGGAACUAGUGUUUUUAAAAUAUAUCCUUACUACUAGGAUCCGUUAGAAAAAUAUAAUUAACCAGAGGUAAAAUACUUAACCCUGAUUAGUGAAUGAAAUAAGUUGACCUUUUUACCCCUCUUAUAUUAAUUGUGAUAGUAGAAAGGAAGAAAAGGACCAUUCUGCAAAUUCUAACAGUAGUUGAGCUUUAGGAGAGACGUAUUUGUGAUGAAAAAAAAAUCAUUUUACUUAUCUUCUAUUAAAAAAUAAACAGUACUUUAAUGAUAAAUACCAGAAGGGCAAAUACGAAUAUCACUAGAAUUUUGCAAGAAUAAAUAUUAAAAAUCAAAUUUCGUGAGAAUAUAUUUACUAUUUGAUAUAUUUACAAGAAACUAUAUAAAAUUAA
rnacentral:lncRNA from 1 species